UAAACGACUCUCGGCAACGGAUAUCCCGGCUCUCGCAUCGAUGAAGAACGUAGCGAAAUGCGAUACUUGGUGUGAAUUGCAGAAUCCCGUGAACCAUCGAGUCUUUGAACGCAAGUUGCGCCCGAAGCCAUUAGGCCGAGGGCACGCCUGCCUGGGCGUCACAC
rnacentral:rRNA from 1 species